UUAAGCGACUAAGCGUACACGGUGGAUGCCCUGGCAGUCAGAGGCGAUGAAGGACGUGCUAAUCUGCGAUAAGCGUCGGUAAGGUGAUAUGAACCGUUAUAACCGGCGAUUUCCGAAUGGGGAAACCCAGUGUGAUUCGUCACACUAUCAUUAACUGAAUCCAUAGGUUAAUGAGGCGAACCGGGGGAACUGAAACAUCUAAGUACCCCGAGGAAAAGAAAUCAACCGAGAUUCCCCCAGUAGCGGCGAGCGAACGGGGAGCAGCCCAGAGCCUGAAUCAGUGUGUGUGUUAGUGGAAGCGUCUGGAAAGGCGUGCGAUACAGGGUGACAGCCCCGUACACAAAAAUGCACAUGCUGUGAGCUCGAUGAGUAGGGCGGGACACGUGGUAUCCUGUCUGAAUAUGGGGGGACCAUCCUCCAAGGCUAAAUACUCCUGACUGACCGAUAGUGAACCAGUACCGUGAGGGAAAGGCGAAAAGAACCCCGGCGAGGGGAGUGAAAAAGAACCUGAAACCGUGUACGUACAAGCAGUGGGAGCACGCUUAGGCGUGUGACUGCGUACCUUUUGUAUAAUGGGUCAGCGACUUAUAUUCUGUAGCAAGGUUAACCGAAUAGGGGAGCCGAAGGGAAACCGAGUCUUAACUGGGCGUUAAGUUGCAGGGUAUAGACCCGAAACCCGGUGAUCUAGCCAUGGGCAGGUUGAAGGUUGGGUAACACUAACUGGAGGACCGAACCGACUAAUGUUGAAAAAUUAGCGGAUGACUUGUGGCUGGGGGUGAAAGGCCAAUCAAACCGGGAGAUAGCUGGUUCUCCCCGAAAGCUAUUUAGGUAGCGCCUCGUGAAUUCAUCUCCGGGGGUAGAGCACUGUUUCGGCAAGGGGGUCAUCCCGACUUACCAACCCGAUGCAAACUGCGAAUACCGGAGAAUGUUAUCACGGGAGACACACGGCGGGUGCUAACGUCCGUCGUGAAGAGGGAAACAACCCAGACCGCCAGCUAAGGUCCCAAAGUCAUGGUUAAGUGGGAAACGAUGUGGGAAGGCCCAGACAGCCAGGAUGUUGGCUUAGAAGCAGCCAUCAUUUAAAGAAAGCGUAAUAGCUCACUGGUCGAGUCGGCCUGCGCGGAAGAUGUAACGGGGCUAAACCAUGCACCGAAGCUGCGGCAGCGACGCUGAUGCGUUGUUGGGUAGGGGAGCGUUCUGUAAGCCUGCGAAGGUGUGCUGUGAGGCAUGCUGGAGGUAUCAGAAGUGCGAAUGCUGACAUAAGUAACGAUAAAGCGGGUGAAAAGCCCGCUCGCCGGAAGACCAAGGGUUCCUGUCCAACGUUAAUCGGGGCAGGGUGAGUCGACCCCUAAGGCGAGGCCGAAAGGCGUAGUCGAUGGGAAACAGGUUAAUAUUCCUGUACUUGGUGUUACUGCGAAGGGGGGACGGAGAAGGCUAUGUUGGCCGGGCGACGGUUGUCCCGGUUUAAGCGUGUAGGCUGGUUUUCCAGGCAAAUCCGGAAAAUCAAGGCUGAGGCGUGAUGACGAGGCACUACGGUGCUGAAGCAACAAAUGCCCUGCUUCCAGGAAAAGCCUCUAAGCAUCAGGUAACAUCAAAUCGUACCCCAAACCGACACAGGUGGUCAGGUAGAGAAUACCAAGGCGCUUGAGAGAACUCGGGUGAAGGAACUAGGCAAAAUGGUGCCGUAACUUCGGGAGAAGGCACGCUGAUAUGUAGGUGAAGCGACUUGCUCGUGGAGCUGAAAUCAGUCGAAGAUACCAGCUGGCUGCAACUGUUUAUUAAAAACACAGCACUGUGCAAACACGAAAGUGGACGUAUACGGUGUGACGCCUGCCCGGUGCCGGAAGGUUAAUUGAUGGGGUCAGCGCAAGCGAAGCUCUUGAUCGAAGCCCCGGUAAACGGCGGCCGUAACUAUAACGGUCCUAAGGUAGCGAAAUUCCUUGUCGGGUAAGUUCCGACCUGCACGAAUGGCGUAAUGAUGGCCAGGCUGUCUCCACCCGAGACUCAGUGAAAUUGAACUCGCUGUGAAGAUGCAGUGUACCCGCGGCAAGACGGAAAGACCCCGUGAACCUUUACUAUAGCUUGACACUGAACAUUGAGCCUUGAUGUGUAGGAUAGGUGGGAGGCUUUGAAGUGUGGACGCCAGUCUGCAUGGAGCCGACCUUGAAAUACCACCCUUUAAUGUUUGAUGUUCUAACGUGGACCCGUGAUCCGGGUUGCGGACAGUGUCUGGUGGGUAGUUUGACUGGGGCGGUCUCCUCCUAAAGAGUAACGGAGGAGCACGAAGGUUGGCUAAUCCUGGUCGGACAUCAGGAGGUUAGUGCAAUGGCAUAAGCCAGCUUGACUGCGAGCGUGACGGCGCGAGCAGGUGCGAAAGCAGGUCAUAGUGAUCCGGUGGUUCUGAAUGGAAGGGCCAUCGCUCAACGGAUAAAAGGUACUCCGGGGAUAACAGGCUGAUACCGCCCAAGAGUUCAUAUCGACGGCGGUGUUUGGCACCUCGAUGUCGGCUCAUCACAUCCUGGGGCUGAAGUAGGUCCCAAGGGUAUGGCUGUUCGCCAUUUAAAGUGGUACGCGAGCUGGGUUUAGAACGUCGUGAGACAGUUCGGUCCCUAUCUGCCGUGGGCGCUGGAGAACUGAGGGGGGCUGCUCCUAGUACGAGAGGACCGGAGUGGACGCAUCACUGGUGUUCGGGUUGUCAUGCCAAUGGCACUGCCCGGUAGCUAAAUGCGGAAGAGAUAAGUGCUGAAAGCAUCUAAGCACGAAACUUGCCCCGAGAUGAGUUCUCCCUGACUCCUUGAGAGUCCUGAAGGAACGUUGAAGACGACGACGUUGAUAGGCCGGGUGUGUAAGCGCAGCGAUGCGUUGAGCUAACCGGUACUAAUGAACCGUGAGGCUUAACCUU
rnacentral:rRNA from 1 species